rnacentral:rRNA from 2 species
GCCGCGGUAAUACGGAGGGUGCAAGCGUUAAUCGGAAUUACUGGGCGUAAAGCGCACGCAGGCGGUCUGUCAAGUCGGAUGUGAAAUCCCCGGGCUCAACCUGGGAACUGCAUUCGAAACUGGCAGGCUUGAGUCUUGUAGAGGGGGGUAGAAUUCCAGGUGUAGCGGUGAAAUGCGUAGAGAUCUGGAGGAAUACCGGUGGCGAAGGCGGCCCCCUGGACAAAGACUGACGCUCAGGUGCGAAAGCGUGGGGAGCAAACAGGAUUAGAUACCCUGGUAGUCCACGCCGUAAACGAUGUCUACUUGGAGGUUGUGCCCUUGAGGCGUGGCUUCCGGAGCUAACGCGUUAAGUAGACCGCCUGGGGAGUACGGCCGCAAGGUUAAAACUCAAAUGAAUUGACGGGGGCCCGCACAAGCGGUGGAGCAUGUGGUUUAAUUCGAUGCAACGCGAAGAACC